GGUUGUUUGGCCGAGCGGUCUAAGGCGCCUGAUUCAAGUCCUCAGGUAUCGUAAGAUGCAAGAGUUCGAAUCUCUUAGCAACCA
rnacentral:tRNA from 1 species